rnacentral:rRNA from 1 species
UACGUAGGGUGCAAGCGUUAAUCGGAAUUACUGGGCGUAAAGCGUGCGCAGGCGGUUGUGUAAGACAGAAUGUGAAAUCCCCGGGCUCAACCCUGGGAACUGCAUUUGUGACUGCACAGCUGGAGUGCGGCAGAGGGGGAUGGAAUUCCGCGUGUAGCAGUGAAAUGCGUAGAUAUGUGGAGGAACACCGAUGGCGAAGGCAGCCCCCUGGGUUAACACUGACGCUCAUGCACGAAAGCGUGGGGGAGCAAACAGG